UGCGGCUGGAUCCCCUCCUUUCUAGAGAAAACCGCGUCGUUCUAGCGCCCACACCUAUCGGCUGUGCAGCAUGAAAUGCGGACGUGCGAGCCGGCCGGAGGGUCUGUAGCUCAGUUGGUUAGAGCACACGCUUGAUAAGCGUGGGGUCGGUGGUUCAAAUCCACCCAGACCCACCAAUACCAACUGCAACGAUUAGAACCGGCAAAGAAGAACCAACUUCGCCGGGGCCAUAGCUCAGCUGGGAGAGCGCCUGCUUUGCAAGCAGGAGGUCACCGGUUCGAUCCCGGUUGGCUCCACCAGGAUGCGCAUUUCUGUUCUCGAUGAAUGGCCUAAUGUCCGCGCGCGGACGUUUGGCGAUUCAUUGUUUCGGCUGCUCUUUAACAAUUCGGAAGAAGUGAAGCGAAUCCGGUUUUCUCAGACCGGGUUCGUCUGGGUAUGAGAUUGCAUUAGAAGCAUUGAGCUCGAGACCUAGUCCGUCUCGAUGCUCGCCAAGCGCGAUCCGAAGACUCUGGUUUUGAAAACACUGCGCCGAGCGGUGCUCAGGGUUAUAGGGUCAAGUGAACAAGUGCAUGUGGUGGAUGCCUUGGCGACUACAGGCGAUGAAAGACGUUGCAGCCUGCGAUAAGCCACGGGGAGCUGGCAAGCGAGCUUUGAUCCGUGGAUGUCCGAAUGGGGAAACCCGG
rnacentral:misc_RNA from 1 species